AGGGCAGUAUCAUUGCUGAACUGCACCUAUAAAAAUACUCAACAACUGCAUAGUUCUGCCUUGAUCUUAAAUCGACAGGGACGGAGAA
rfam:Planococcus sp. PAMC 21323, complete genome.